AGAAGAGCCAAGAAGAAUGUGACAACCUGUGCAUAAACUCUGAUACGGUUAGCUAAAACAUUGUGAACAAACAAUACGUCCUAAAUUCCUGAGACAAGAUAACAAGUAUGCCCCAGGAGGUCAGCCACACCCGUGUUCUGACAUUCUUCUCUUUACAUUGUCACCCCCCCUACCCAGAAAACGCACGUAGUCAAACCAUAUAUAACUAGGCUCCUUCUUUCAAUAAACGAGACCUUUUUCCACUGCAAUGUAAUCUCCCUCCCCUUUCUCGCCCGUUUCUCUUGCAGAUUUUGUCCUCCUCGUAAUCCCAUGAAUAACGAGGUCCUGCUGGACAGGACAAGUGGUGCCCAAUGUGGGCCUCGAGGAAUGGACUCUCGACCAGGCGGACCCCUGAAGUCAUCCUCGUGGACCCCUGCAGCCGUCCGGACCCCUAAUUCUGAUUUGUAUUUUUGUUCUAGAUUUUGGUCAAACUACAGAUAUUGGCUUGCUUCUGGAAACGGGAUCAGCUUUGAUCAGCUUUGAUUGUCAGCAUGACCGCAUCCACUUUCUUGAAGGAAUGAGAGCCUCCUAUCACUUCACAGCCUGGAGCAGCAGUUUUAAAUGAGACCAUGGACUGGACCCCGCGUCUAGUGUACUUUGGACUGAUAUAAGGAACUUUGGGAAUGGUUGAUGACUGACUAUUAAACCUUGCCUGGAUCAUCUA